rnacentral:rRNA from 1 species
UACGUAGGGUGCAAGCGUUAAUCGGAAUUACUGGGCGUAAAGCGUGCGCAGGCGGUUAUGUAAGACAGAUGUGAAAUGCCCGGGCUUAACCUGGGAACUGCAUUUGUGACUGCACGGCUAGAGUUUGGCAGAGGGGGGUAGAAUUCCACGUGUAGCAGUGAAAUGCGUAGAUAUGUGGAGGAACACCGAUGGCGAAGGCAGCCCCCUGGGUCAAGACUGACGCUCAUGCACGAAAGCGUGGGGAGCAAACAGG